rnacentral:rRNA from 1 species
GAUGAACGCUGGCGGCGUGCCUAACACAUGCAAGUCGAGCGAAGCGAUCGAGAUGAAGCUUUCGGAUGGAUUCCUGAUUGACUGAGCGGCGGACGGGUGAGUAACGCGUGGGUAACCUGCCUCAUACAGGGGGAUAACAGUUAGAAAUGACUGCUAAUACCGCAUAAGCGCACAGUACCACAUGGUACGGUGUGAAAAACUCCGGUGGUAUGAGAUGGGCCCGCGUCUGAUUAGCUGGUUGGCGGGGCAACGGCCCACCAAGGCGACGAUCCGUAGCCGAACAGAGAGGGUGAUCGGCCACAGUGGGACUGAGACACGGCCCAAACUACUACGGGAGGCAGCAGUGGGGAAUAUUGCACAAUGGGGGAAACCCUGAUGCAGCAACGCCGCGUAAGUGAAGAAGUAUUUCGGUAUGUAAAGCUCUAUCAGCAGGGAAGAAAAUGACGGUACCUGACUAAGAAGCCCCGGCUAACUACGUGCCAGCCGCCGCAGUAA